rnacentral:rRNA from 1 species
CCCUAUGGGGUGCAGCAGGCUGAUCUCCUGGCAGUUCCGAUAGUCACUAAUGAAGCAGACGCCGGAUUUUCUCUUUUAUUGAUGCCAGGUAGUAUCAGAUCGGCAGACAGGAACCAGGAUGCAGAUGACAAAUCAACCGGGCGUCCGAUGUGUUGAUUACAUCCGGUUCAGAAUGUAUGUGGAGGACAAGACAAUGUCGGAUAUCCUGAUCACCAUCGCGCUCAUCAUCGUCGUUAUCGUGAUCGGUUACUACCUCGCAAAACGUAUGGCGCUGUUGCUCGCGAAUGCCGUACUCGGACUGAUCCUGUUGUUUCUCGUUAAUUUUUUCCACAUCAUGAGCUGGCUUGGACGGGAGGAUCUCGGGUACAGUAUUCCGGGUCUCCUCAUCAGUGCAAUUGGCGGGGGAGC